rnacentral:tRNA from 1 species
GUUUUAAUAGUUUAAAAACAAAACUUUGGUCUUGUAAACCAAAAAUGAAAAUUAAUUCUUAAAACU